rnacentral:rRNA from 1 species
UUAGGCGUGUGACUGCGUACCUUUUGUAUAAUGGGUCAGCGACUUAUAUUCUGUAGCAAGGUUAACCGAAUAGGGGAGCCGAAGGGAAACCGAGUCUUAACUGGGCGUUAAGUUGCAGGGUAUAGACCCGAAACCCGGUGAUCUAGCCAUGGGCAGGUUGAAGGUUGGGUAACACUAACUGGAGGACCGAACCGACUAAUGUUGAAAAAUUAGCGGAUGACUUGUGGCUGGGGGUGAAAGGCCAAUCAAACCGGGAGAUAGCUGGUUCUCCCCGAAAGCUAUUUAGGUAGCGCCUCGUGAAUUCAUCUCCGGGGGUAGAGCACUGUUUCGGCAAGGGGGUCAUCCCGACUUACCAACCCGAUGCAAACUGCGAAUACCGGAGAAUGUUAUCACGGGAGACACACGGCGGGUGCUAACGUCCGUCGUGAAGAGGGAAACAACCCAGACCGCCAGCUAAGGUCCCAAAGUCAUGGUUAAGUGGGAAACGAUGUGGGAAGGCCCAGACAGCCAGGAUGUUGGCUUAGAAGCAGCCAUCAUUUAAAGAAAGCGUAAUAGCUCACUGGUCGAGUCGGCCUGCGCGGAAGAUGUAACGGGGCUAAACCAUGCAC